UGUAAGCGUAUACCAAAGUUGUUGCAGUUAAAACGCUCGUAGUCGGAAUUUGGCAGUUCCGGAUGUGUGCACGUCGUGUGCGCACUUCGCGGGGAUUGCUUUUGUGGUCUUGCGUAGGAUGAGGCACUUUUAUUAGUGAACGUCCUCACGCAACCACUUUUUACUGUGAGAAAAUCAGAGUGCUCGAAGCAGGCAUUUGCCGUGAAUGUAUUAGCAUGGAAUAAUAGAAUAGGACUUGGUUCUAUUUUGUUGGUUUGUUGGGACUGAGUAAUGAUUAAGAGGGACAGUUGGGGGCAUUUGUAUUUCGGUGCUAGAGGUGAAAUUCUUAGAUUACCGAAAGACAAACUGCUGCGAAAGCGUCUACCAAGGAUGUUUUCAUUGA
rnacentral:rRNA from 1 species